AAUCAAAUGCAUACAUCACGCAAGAGCUUGUAUGGUUUUUUUUACCUUUCUUGUACAUUAAGUGUAGGGUCUUGUACAUUAAGAUAGGGGCCGGUGACUUCGUGGAGGGCCAUAUGUGUAUCAACGCUGUAGCCAACCAGAUGGCUUCCAACAACGGCGACAUUUCGCAGACACUCUUAACUAUUGCUGCCGUUGGCUGAGGCUGCUUUCCCUGGCGCACUAUCUCCCUGAUCCCGGGUGGGUGCUUCCGGUCCUCGUUGUUUCCAUUCGCUGCCCACGUUUCCACUCUCGGCGGUCACAACAUGGGUGAAAUUUAAAAUCUUCUUGUGGGUCGCUGAAAAAGAGCAGAUUUUCGUCUUCACUUCAAGACAGUAGUGCCGGGGCGAUGACAGCCCGAAAGAAUCACCAGGACCAUACUAUAGACACAGCAGCUUCAAUAGAUGAGCUAAAACUAAGGUGAAUGAACACGAGCCUAAGGAUACAAAAUACAAAAGCCACUCUAAAAAUCCUGCUCGUCUACGGUAUCUAUUGUAUCUAUAGACCAUACGCGAUGCAGAAGUAUCACAUCCGGGCAGGCGGAUCGCAAUCUGUCCCUGUAAUGUGGAAGCAGCAACCAAGGUAGAUUUCCCUCCUACUAAGUAUAGUUUGCCUAGUUUGAGCUUCCGCUAUCUCGGUCUGGUUUGUCUUCGCUAUUUUUUCGCAUAAAACGAUGAUUUUGAUAGCUGAC